UAAUCCUCGAAAGAGUUGGACUAUGAAGCACAAACAGAAGAAGAAACACCUGGAGAGGAAGUUCUUACAACAGCCUGGAAAACAGUCAAAAUGUAGAAGAGGAAAGUUGGAUUUCCAAGAUGUUCUGCCAAGUAGGGCCAAGGUACUGGCCCCAACUCAAGACCAUCAAGUGGUAGAUACUUCUUCUUCAUCACUGGAGGACUUCCCCUAUGGAGGCAGAUUCCUGGCUGCAGGUAUGGAGGCACUAUUGACCAAGGUCAGAAGGGAGGGUAGGGUCUAGGCAUAUCCCAGAAUCGAGAUAAAUGCUUCUGAACAUCAGCUGAUACAAGGCUGCUCAGUCAGGAAGAAAGAGAAAAUAAUCCACGGUGGAAACAACAAAUGUGAAAGGGGAAACACAUGAGAGGACUGCAGGAAGCCCAAGAUCAUCAUACGGUUGGUGGAGAGUGCCUGGGGGAGACGAGCAUGAUCAGUGCUGCACAGGCACAGUACAGGGCAGGGAAGAGCAUCACAGACUGCCAGGAAGGAACACAGGCACCAGUGGCUUACAAGAAGCCCAGAAUAAUAGGAGCCUCAAGAGAUCUGACUUGAGACGCAUUAAAGAGAUGCCCAGUCUAAGGUCACAGCACAUCCACGUAUUGUCCUACCAAUACUCUCACAUGUAUUACUCUAGAGACCCAUCUGCACUGCUACCUGCUUCUCUCAUUUCCUUAUAAUCUCCCAGGU
rnacentral:lncRNA from 1 species